AGGUUUUUCAGCCCAAGUGAUAAUUACGUGAGCAACCUCGGUAAACCUGUUAAUCCUUCCCUAAAUCCUCCAAUCGGGCCGCCUUUAUCCCUCUCGGUGUUCUCAGUUCCCUAUUUUUUCUCUCGACAGGAAGUAACUCUCUUUUUCUUUUCUCAUGCUUGUCUUCAAUCCAGAAGUUCUUUGGGCUCACUGUUUGGUGGGGGUACUCUGAGUCAGUAUCCUAGUACCCUCAGCAGCUUAAUAUGGCUCAACAGCCCCCCUCCCCCGCCGCCUCUCACUAAGAAGAGCUCACGGCGAUCCUGCAGCUCCCCUCCCCGCAUUGCCCCCCUCCGCGGGCCCGUCCCUGCCCUGCGCCCGGCCAACCAAUCCCUGGCUCCACUCCAUUCGCGUCACAAUGGCGCCCUCGUGGCCCCGCCCCCGGACGCCAGCCGCGGAGGCCCCGCCCCGCAACGCUCAUUGCGUCUUUCCGGCUCCUUGUUGGAAGUAGCACUGCGCCGUGUCUUCCUGGAGAAGAAGGUGCUCGGAGGGACGACCGUGGUGCCGGAUGUGAAGAAGAGCGGGAGCGUGGAGACUCGGAGCCCGAGGAACUCUUCUCCCUCCGCGUCCCUUCUGCCCCAGGAAGUCCCCCCGACUCGACUCAGGAGCUCCGCCCCCCACGGGUCCAGGGAAACUCUUUCCUGGCCGCCCCAGAAAGCGCCCCCCUCCGAGGCCCCGACUCGGGAGCUCCGCCCCCUCCCCCGCGGCUCCGGGAAGCUGGGACGGAGAACGCUGGCCCCACCUCAUUCCCUCCUCGGCGGCCUAGAAGUUCCCACUCCCGCCUCCGUUAAUAACAAAAGGAGACGCACCUGGACUUUCCCGGAGCCUUCUGCGUUUUUAAGCGUCGGGUGGAAUUAG
rnacentral:lncRNA from 1 species